CGCUCACAUUCGAUCUCUUCCUCUUCACGUCUUCUCCGAGGAGAAGGCAGGACAAACUUCUGUGUCCAACUUGAAUAAGCAGGAGCUCCACCUGACCUCCCCGACCAUGGCUCUCUAUGUAGAACACAGGAAUGGGAGAAAGUUUCACUCUGAUGGGUGGACCGUGACAUCAAAUUCAGGUGAUCCUCAUGGCUGACUCCUAAGUGACUGGAUGAGAACUUCUCAUGUUAAGGUGAUCCUCAUGGCUGACUCCUAAGUGACUGGAUGAGAACUUCUCAUGAUAAGACAUUAAUCUGAAGUUGAACCGGGUGGCCUUGGGCUCCAUGGGCUGGACUGCAUCCCUGAUCUGAAGAUCCAGUGACGUGUUCACGGUCAAAGUCGUCCUGUGCGGGUGGACUAUGAGGAUGUUGGAUUGCAGAUGCAACCAUUUGUCUGUACAGUUGGCACAAACUGUGCCCCCAAUGAAGUUAUUGCAGUCACAUGUGGUCUGAGUUGCAAUCAAUUGUGUACUGUCAUUAAAUGAAAUAAAACAC